GGGCUGAUCCCUUUUUCUUCUUCCAUUAUUUCUUCUGGGAGGCAUUUUCUAUUAACGGAUGAAGGAACAGUUAGAAAUAGGAAAUUAAAUAGAGGUCAUGCUCUUUCGCACAAUAGGAAAACUUAAUUAAGGGAAACUUUCCUAAAACGUCUCGUAGCCUCUUUCCCAUAAAUGUGUCACGCUUCUCACCCAUACAAACUACAGAUUUUAGAUACCCUAGG
rnacentral:lncRNA from 1 species